GUAGGGAAUAUUGGGCAAUGGAUGCAAGUCUGACCCAGCCAUCCCGCGUGCCGGAAGAAGGCCCUCGGGGUUGUAACCGGCUUUUGACGGUGAAGAAUCGACAGGAUGCGCCCUGUUUUGACGGUAGCCGUUGAAUAAGCACCGGCUAACUCCGUGCCAGCCGCCGCGGUAAUACGGAGGGUGCGAGCGUGGUCCGGAUUUAUUGGGUUUAAAGGGUGCGUAGGCUGGAAGGUCAGUCAGCGGUGAAAAGCUGUCGCUUAACGAUAGUCUUGCCGCAGAUACUUCCUUUCUUGGAUGAGGAGGAGGCCACUGGAACGGAUGGUGUAGCGGUGAAAUGCAUAGAUAUCAUCCAGAACACCGAUUGCGAAGGCAGGUGGCUGUACCUUAAUCGACGCUGAUGCACGAAAGCAUGGGGAGCAAACAGGAUUAGAAACCCCUGUAGUCC
rnacentral:rRNA from 1 species